UACGAAGGGGGCUAGCGUUGCUUGGAAUCACUGGGCGUAAAGGGUGCGUAGGCGGGUCUUUAAGUCAGGGGGGAAAUCCUGGAGCUCAACUCCAGAACUGCCUUUGAUACUGAGGAUCUUGAGUUCGGGAGAGGUGAGUGGAACUGCGAGUGUAGAGGUGAAAUUCGUAGAUAUUCGCAAGAACACCAGUGGCGAAGGCGGCUCACUGGCCCGAUACUGACGCUGAGGCACGAAAGCGUGGGGAGCAAACAGG
rnacentral:rRNA from 1 species